GUAGGGGGCUAGCGUUGUCCGGAAUCAUUGGGCGUAAAGCGCGCGUAGGCGGCCCGGUAAGUCCGCUGUAAAAGUCAGGGGCUCAACCCUUGAACGCCGGUGGAUACUGCCGGGCUAGAGUCCGGAAGAGGCGAGUGGAAUUCCUGGUGUAGCGGUGGAAUGCGCAGAUAUCAGGAGGAACACCAAUAGCGAAGGCAGCUCGCUGGGACGGUACUGACGCUGAGGCGCGAAAGCGUGGGGAGCGAACAGGAUUAGAUACCCUGGUAGUCCACGCCGUAAACGAUGGGCACUAGGUGUGGGAGGUGUCGACUCCUUCCGUGCCGUCGCUAACGCACUAAGUGCCCCGCCUGGGGAGUACGGCCGCAAGGCUAAA
rnacentral:rRNA from 1 species